CACAAGUUAAUGUCUUCUCUUGGAAGCUUAGAAAUCUGAUCACACUCUCUCUCUUGCUCCCUCAUCUGGCCGAACAACAAGCAAGAAAAACAGCUCAAGAGUUCUUCAAAUUCCUCCAUCAAAUCUUCACCAAAUCUUCUCUAAUUCACUUCAAAUUUCACCCACACUUAAUAUAACACUUGAGGAGUAUUUUGAGCUGCAAAAGGGAGCUGAAAAGUCACGGUUUUCUGGAGCAAAGAGUGACCAAAAUUUCUAAUAUAGUCAUCCAAGAAGGUAGCAAAUCAUCCAACCCAUAGAUCUUAGUUUUUGUAAGAUAUAUUGCACAUAUAAGGUUAUAUAAUCAUGUGGGUAGUCUUGUUUAUGGUAUAAAAUGUGAAAGUGGGCUCUAUAAACUCCCACUCUUGGGUUGUUGCUGAUUUGUUGAUUGAUGGUGGAUAUAUUGUUGGUUUAGUGGUUAAAAUGAUGGAUUAAUGGUGUGUAAUUGAUAGAAACUUCGUUGGGUGCAAGAAGCAAAAGUGACCGUUUUACCCCUGCUUUGUCCGACCAUUUUUGUGCAAACUUUUGAAGCUCUAAUGACUUGAUUAUAUUGUUUACAUGUUAGUGUGAGUGUGUACAAAAUUUUAUUGAAAAAUAACAUGAUUUGGUUAGUCAAAUGAAUUGAUUUCCAAAGUUAGCAAAACUGGAAAAUGAAUCCCGUAUUGCCCAGGCAGUCAUUUUGUAUCGGCCAUAACUCUUUACUCCGAUGUCGAAAUCAAGUGCUGUUUGCGGCACUGGAAACUAGACAUUCCCAGCUUUCCAUUGAUACCAAAUUCACGUUCUGGUUCCACUUGAGUGAGCCACACCAUUCGAUUGAAAAUCACUGUACUGUUUCGUUUCUCUCCAGGAGACAGGACAGGACUUGUAUCUUGAUGCUCAAAAACGAGCUGUUUGUGGAUAGAAUUUCAAAAUGGUUUCUUCUGAUAAAAUUCAGCUUUAUGAGAGAGCUUUCCAACACCAUCAACCACGCUCAAUUCCAAGUUGAAUUGAGUGAGUUGUGGCCAUAUUUCGAAACUGAUGCAGUGAGUAAAAAUCCUCUUUUGACUAGUUGAAUGGCCUAGCUUGAUUUGGGACUUGUUGUUUUGGAAACUUUGAUGUCCAACAUCUACCAAACUUUAUAUUAGAUGUUCCUUGGACUUUGUUUUACAAAUAAACCAGAUUUGGGUUGGUUGCAUUGGACAAAAUGUUUAAAAAGAAAGAAGAGCUAGAAGACAGUUUUACCUUGGGAAAUUUCUUGAAUUUUGAUGGUUUAGUUAACUACCUUCUCGUGUGAAUUUUCAAAUGAAAUUUGAUAGAGGAGUGGUCCUCAUAUGGAGGUUUAAUUGUGCAAAAUUUGGUGAUAUUCUAAGACCAUUUUGAUAUGCAAAUGAUGCCCCGAAAUUGCUCUUCGAAUCUGGAAAACUUUUCCUUUUCUCUUAGCCGAUUAGCCAAUCUUUACUUGGGACUUGUCAUUCGAAAUUCUUGGUAUAAAUCACCUACCAAAUACAGCUUGGAUGUUUCUUAGACAUUAUCUAUGCAAAUGAACCAUAUUUGAGAGGUUUUUAGUGGCCAAAUGUUUGAGAAAAGAAAAACAAAGGUACGAGGCAGAUUGCCUUGGAAAUUCUUGAAAACUUCAACAGUUUUGUUAAUUGACUCUUCGUGCUAGAUUUUGCUUGAAAAUUUGCAGAGGAAUAACCCCUAUAUGGUAGUGUAAUACUGCUAAAUUUGGUGCCAUUCGAAGUCCGUUUCAGUGUUCAACCAACAUCCCAAAGUUCAUGUUUAAAUCUGGAAAUUCUUGAUCGAGGAGGAAAUUUUAGCCAACUUUGAGCUGCUAUAUCUUGGCGCUCAAAACUUUGAUUCUUGUUCCGUUUGUUUUGUUUUAAACUUUGAUUGUAGCUCUAAUUGAGUUCUAAAUUUCGGAGGCUAGUUCGUAUUGUGUGAAUUUUGCUGGAUUUUCAAAGUUGGUCAAAAACCAACCCCGAAACUGUCAUAAUGGUCCCAAGCAGCAACUUUGAGUCAAUUUUUGAAUAUCUUCCGUUUGGAAUCAUGGAAAAGUAUCUUCUAGAAACUUUUAGUGCUUUUGAAGAAGUUUCCAACGGUAUCAAGCUUUCUAAUUAUGGACCUACAUAGUGCAAGAUACGAUUUUUCUAAAUUGACACCCAAAACUGAAAUUUGUCAAUUUCUUAGAAAAUGAGAUUUUGGAAACUUGCCUUCUUUUUUCGAUACCGAUUGAACAUCUUGAACUCGAUUUCAUGGAAAAUGUUAGUCUCUCUCUUUAGACUUUAAAACUUUACUCUUGAACCUCGAUUUACGAGUAAUUGAGGUUCAUUUUCAUAAGAUUUCCUUAGAUUGCAGUAGCGUACAAUCUUUCUCGAUAAUUAGAGAUUCGUAGUGAUAUUGAGUGGUACUUGAUUAUUGUUUACUCAGGCACUCGAGGGAAUCUCCAAGAGGAACUCGGAGCGGACACCUAAACGCUUGUUUGAAAACUACUCGUUUGUUUUGACUAGGUGAGUGUUCCAUAUAGGAAUACGUAAUUGAAUAAGUUUAGGACACGCUUAUUUCAUGAUUAUUAAGUGUUAAGUGCUAUGUGUUAAGUAUUUACCAUACUCAUGCCUAUUUAAGGAAUCUAUACUUGCAUUGUAUAUCUACAUGAAUUGGUUAAAUGAUUAACCAUAUCAAAUGACCAUAUGAACUCGAUACAUGCUUAACUUGCUAGAUUGUUUACUUAGCCUACUUGAUUUUGAGAAAUGGAGUCGAGUGUGUACUUUAUCGCACUCGUUCUCUUUUGAGAUGAAUAACUCAUUGCUUGGAAAUGCUCGAAUAACAUGACUUGGUAUGCUAUGGAUGCAUACGUCGUUGGAGUGAAUCUUCUCGACUCUCACAUGAUAAAAAUGGGAUAACGGCCAAUGAUGGCCUAUUCAUUUGACAAAUGCCUGUCAAUUAACCGUCACUACUUAACCGUUAACCGUUAACCGUGAACCGUUUACUAACCACAUGACUACUUGAUUACUUGACUAUUUGCUCACAUGAUUUCCAAUCUACAUGACUAUUCGAUAUCCGUGAAUUACAUGCUUCCAUGAAAUCAACUUGUAUUGCUUACGUGCUUACGUGCUAAGUAUCUACUUGAUUACUUGAUUAUCAUGAAUCACAUGUUAUAUGAAGCUGUCCAUCAUUAUUAGGCGAGUGUGUACUUUACCUCACUCGACCUACUCAAAUGAUGAAUUUUACCUUUUGUCGAAUUACUUGGUUACCUGUGCAUGUUGUAAGCUCUAAGCUGAACUUGGGCCCUGCCCUUGGUUACUGACCUACUCGAGCCAGGACUGGGCUCGGUCGGGUAGGUUGGAACCCUGGGCCACCGUUUCGGUAUACUCGAGUAUUAUCACUGGAGGGAUAAGGUGGUGGCCAGACCGUACCGUGGGGAUCCGGAAGUCAUAAGGUACAGAUGACCGACAGAGUUCCACUGGAACACCGUAUCCUACAGUAUAUGUUUACCUGGUAUCAUGAUAAUUGUUUCAUGCUAAAAUGUCAAUAUGAAAUCCUGAGCUAUGCCUGUAAUAAGCUCCAAUCACUCGUGAACUAUACAUGCCAAUGUCUUGAACCAUAAUAACUGUCUCAUGAUAAAUGUCUCAUACCAUGAUAAUGUCUCAAAUUACCGUACAAUGAUUAUCACCUCAUGAUAACAUGCCAUUGUGUAACCUUGAACCAUGCAUAUGAUAUGCCAAAUCUACUUGAUUUAUUUGAACUGUUAGAGUGUCUUGGAACCUCAUUGGGUUGUGUAGCUUAUCCCACGUUGUGGUUUUCUUUUACGGGGUUCGAGACCAAUAGUGCUCGUGAGUAGUACUAGAUUGCUUUUUUUUUGAAAAUUUUAAAUUAUAUUAUAAUGGAUGGCUAUUGUACCAUUUUCCGUUGGGUUGUAUUUAAGCUUGAAAGCUGUAUAAUUAUAAGUGUGAGAUAUUUGAAUUACUUUAAUUAUGUAUUGAAGUUACUUAAAGUA
rnacentral:lncRNA from 1 species